rnacentral:rRNA from 1 species
GGCACGCCUAACACAUGCAAGUCGAACGAAGUAGCAAUACUUAGUGGCAGACGGGUGAGUAACAUGUAGGAAUCUUCCCUAUGGCCUGGAAUAACACGAGGAAACUUGUGCUAAUACCGGAUAAGUCUUUACAGAGAAAGCUUUAUGCACCAUUGGAUGAGCCUGCACUUGAUUAGUUUGUUGGUGGGGUAAUGGCCUACCAAGACUUUGAUCAAUAGCUGAUUUGAGAGGAUGAUCAGCCACAUUGGGACUGAGACACGGCCCAAACUCCUACGGGAGGCAGCAGUGGGGAAUCUUGCACAAUGGAGGAAACUCUGAUGCAGCGAUGCCGCGUGAGUGAAGAAGGCCUUUGGGUUGUAAAGCUCUUUCGUCGGGGAAGAAAAUGACUGUACCCGAAUAAGAAGGUCCGGCUAACUUCGUGCCAGCAGCCGCGGUAAUACGAAGGGACCUAGCGUAGUUCGGAAUUACUGGGCUUAAAGAGUUCGUAGGUGGUUGAAAAAGUUGGUGGUGAAAUCCCAGAGCUUAACUCUGGAACUGCCAUCAAAACUUUUCAGCUAGAGUUUGAUAGAGGAAAGCAGAAUUUCUAGUGUAGAGGUGAAAUUCGUAGAUAUUAGAAAGAAUACCAAUUGCGAAGGCAGCUUUCUGGAUCAUUACUGACACUGAGGAACGAAAGCAUGGGUAGCGAAGAGGAUUAGAUACCCUCGUAGUCCAUGCCGUAAACGAUGUGUGUUAGACGUUGGAAAUUUAUUUUCAGUGUCGCAGCGAAAGCGAUAAACACACCGCCUGGGGAGUAC